rnacentral:rRNA from 1 species
GGGUGGUAAUGCCGGAUGUUCCACAUGAUCGCAUGUGAUUGUGGGAAAGAUUCUAUCGGCGUGGGAUGGGGUCGCGUCCUAUCAGCUUGUUGGUGAGGUAACGGCUCACCAAGGCUUCGACGGGUAGCCGGCCUGAGAGGGCGACCGGCCACAUUGGGACUGAGAUACGGCCCAGACUCCUACGGGAGGCAGCAGUGGGGAAUAUUGCACAAUGGGCGCAAGCCUGAUGCAGCGACGCCGCGUGAGGGAUGGAGGCCUUCGGGUUGUAAACCUCUUUUGUUUGGGAGCAAGCCUUCGGGUGAGUGUACCUUUCGAAUAAGCGCCGGCUAACUACGUGCCAGCAGCCGCGGUAAUACGUAGGGCGCAAGCGUUAUCCGGAUUUAUUGGGCGUAAAGGGCUCGUAGGCGGCUCGUCGCGUCCGGUGUGAAAGUCCAUCGCUUAACGGUGGAUCUGCGCCGGGUACGGGCGGGCUGGAGUGCGGUAGGGGAGACUGGAAUUCCCGGUGUAACGGUGGAAUGUGUAGAUAUCGGGAAGAAC